AAAGAGGCAUCCAUUUGGUGACAGAUGAAAUUUUGAGGCAUUUGCCAGAGAUUAAAAAGUUUUCAGUAGGGCUAUGUCACGUUCAGAUACUACACACAUCAGCAAGUUUGUCAUUGAAUGAAAAUUGGGAUCCAAAUGUUCGCGUGGAUAUGGAGACCAUGCUUAACAAAAUAGUGCCUGAGAACCUCCCAUACAAGCACUGCGCCGAAGGUCCUGACGAUAUGCCAGCGCAUGUAAAAGCAUGCUUU
rnacentral:lncRNA from 1 species